rnacentral:rRNA from 1 species
GUGCCAGCAGCCGCGGUAAUACAGAGGUCCCGAGCGUUGUUCGGAUUCACUGGGCGUAAAGGGUGCGUAGGUGGCAUGGCAAGUUUGAUGUGAAAGCUCAGGGCUUAACCCUGAAAUGGCAUUGAAUACUGCUGUGCUGGAGGAUUGGAGGGGGGACUGGAAUUCUUGGUGUAGCAGUGAAAUGCGUAGAUAUCAAGAGGAACACCAGUGGCGAAGGCGAGUCCCUGGACAACACCUGACACUGAGGCACGAAAGCUAGGGGAGCAAACAGGAUUAGAUACCCUGGUAGUCCUAGCCCUAAACGGUGUGCGCUUGCUGUAAGAGGAAUCGACCCCUCUUGUGGCGAAGCUAACGCGUUAAGCGCACCGCCUGGGGAGUACGGUCGCAAGAUUAAAACUCAAAGAAAUUGACGGGGGCCUGCACAAGCGGUGGAGUAUGUGGCUUAAUUCGAUGCAACGCGAAGAACCUUACCUGGCCUUGACAUGCAAGUGGUAGAACCAUGAAAGUGGGACGACCCCGCAAGGGGAGCUUGCACAGGUGCUGCAUGGCUGUCGUCAGCUCGUGUCGUGAGAUGUUGGGUUAAGUCCCGCAACGAGCGCAACCCUUGUGUCCUGUUGCCACCCCCACGAGAGUGGGGAGCACUCUGGACAGACUGCCUCGCUUAAACGGGGAGGAAGGUGGGGAUGACGUCAAGUCAGUAUGGCCCUUACGGCCAGGGCUGCACACGCACUACAAUGCCUAACACAAAGGGAAGCCAGACCGUCAGGUGGAGCAAAUCCCAGAAAAUUAGGCCCAGUUCAGAUUGUCGUCUGCAACUCGACGGCAUGAAG